GCAGAAAUGGCGGAAUUGGCAGACGCGCAGGUUUCAGGUACCUGUAGUAAUUAUUACUGUGUGGGUUCAAAUCCCAUUUUCUGCA
rfam:Lachnobacterium bovis DSM 14045 genome assembly, contig: IE72DRAFT_scaffold00008.8